AGGAUAAUAGUUAUUAACAUUUAAAUUGCACUUAAAAAAUAUUGAAUUUAAAUUCAAUUUAUCUUA
rnacentral:tRNA from 1 species